CAGACGCUAACUAAACCAAGACCAGAGCACCAAGGGGAGGGCAGAGGACAGAGUAGAACAAGAGAGGAGGGGGUUAGGACAGAGGGUGGUCUAAGCUCGUUUGGGAUCCUAAGGGAGGGCGGGAGAGGUCUACCCACUCGGCGGCUCGGCUCUCCCUAGGAUAAGGAGGAAGGGGUUGAGGCUGCUGCUGCUCGGCCUCUGGUGGCCUAGCCUUGCUCCUCCCCCUCCUCCUCCUCUCCUACGAGUAGCGGGCGACGGAGACGCGGUCGUCGAGCACCCCCGGACGGCGCGGCUGCUGGCAGAGUCCGGAGAGGAGUGGGAGUUGCAGAGUACGAGGCGGCGGCUCUUGGCGAAGUAUAGAGUGGAGAGAGUCGUGAAGCUCCAGAGCCUCCACCCGUACGACCGUUCCACAGAGACGCAAGGGGAGCAGAGCGACGCGCAGCCGUUCCAACUGGCGGUGCCAGGGGAGGAGACGGGUUGUUGGUAGUCUCCCUUCGAAUUGGAACCGGAAGACGGAAGUAGCUCGUACGCGGAAUGGAAGAGGCCACUGCUACCAACAAGUCUCCUUAACCGAGACAACUUGCUUCCGGAUCUUCAAAGUCUUGAACACUAACUUCUUUAUAGUCGACUAUUAAGACCUGCAAGAAAGGAAUAGUCCUAAAGUCUUAGAUUUUCUAACAUGAUGACCACGCGACUUUUCAGCUUCCUUACACCUUACCUCGAAGAACGUUUCUACUUUUUAGAUGAAGUCCCGUCCGGUUGGGAGAGACUAGAGUGUCCGUAGAGGUUAAGGGCUGAACUACGAAAACAAUGAUUAAAUGUACGAAUAGAAGAACGUGGUUCAUAACCUCUACGAUUUAACAACCCUAGUAGAUGACUGAAGGAGUCAUUAAGUUCAAGUGUUCCCGUUGUAAAUGUCGGGGGUAGUCAGCAAAGGUCCAGAAGUUCCAGAACGUGGAGACGGCGAUUACGUUGUUUUCGUUCGAACUAGAUAGUUCGGUCAGACUCAGGGUCUAGGUCGUGAAAAUUUCUACCCCAAGGUUCCUGGAGAACACGUUUCCAACAACCUUCUCUCUUCGACUUCGCCGCACCCCUGACCAACCCGGGUAGUUGACGAGAUUAGCUACGUUUAGGAAACUAUCGUUUCUCACAAUUGGGACUAAGUUGGUCACUCCACAGACUAUCCCUGACAAGUUUUUUGUCACAGUGAGGGCGAAGAAGUAAUCUGAACGGAGAAAGUAAAGGGAACGACGGUGGAGAAAUAGGUGAGGGUCUCCCAAGAAGUCUCUUAGGUAAAUUCGGAAUGAUAACGACCACAGGCGGUACGGGUAGCAGUGACGUCAUGUCACAUUGGGGAGACGUAUACGGUCAAUGUAGACAUCUUGGUAAAGGGGUCAGUGGAAACCCGAGUGACCAUAGUUUACUUCAUAGUAGACAGAGCAGUAAAAGACGUUUCAACCUAUGUUGAUUAAGUGGAGGUAGAUAUGACGUGCUAGGAAGUGAAGUGGAGGUCGAAGGAUGAAGUUAACAAGGGGACGUACCAAGAUACCAAAGUUGUAUAGGCAAUGAAGUAGACGGCAAAGGGUGAAGUGGAGAACAAGGACAUGUACCAAGCGUCCAAGGUUGUAAAGGCAACGAAGUGGACGGUGAAGGAUGAAGUGGUAAACAAAGUAACGUAUCGAGUGUCCAAGGUUGUAAAUGUGGUAACUACAGACUAGGAUAACACGUACAGGGUCAGUAACUAUACACAAGGAGGCCAGUCCGAAUAAACCACUCAACACCAGGAAGAUAUUGAAGUGGACAAGGGGACGAGGGAUCGAACUUCGGAGACUAAGGUCUUUGGCUUAGCAACCAACUCUCCUCACGAUCCCUUUGUGAUUACUCUGAAAAUCGAAGCUGUGGUGGUAGUUCGUUGGGGGUCGACCAGUUGUAAGAGGGACGUCAGGAAUGACUACACGGACUUUUAUAAAGAGCUAGAGGAUUACACUUGUACGUACAACCACAGGUAGCGUUGCUGGAUGAAGAAUCGAGUAGAACCCCACGAUUACACUAACCUUCACCCUACCGUCGGUACCUCGACGUGAGUCUCCUACUCCAAAGGUCACCCGUACUACGAGUACGUUACCAACGCAAAUGCCUUAAACUACUAUAGUUGCCUCUGGCACUAGUCGGGGUAAAAGCCUCCUACAUCAAACGUGUACCCCAAAAGAACUCGAGAAACAACCAUACUUUACAGACUUAUAAAACUUGCCGUGAACAUAGAUGUACCAUUACCCGAUACACCAAAGCCGUUAUGCUACUAUAUACGUCGGACCAAGUGUACCGAAGGGACGGGUCGAUUUGCCGACUACACCAACAAUUUACAUUAAUCAACAAACAUGACAUAAAAUUAAACCGUUUGUUUCCCAUAAACGAGCACACGUUGAGGAGCAAAAGAGAGAGGUAAAUCACGGGUUCCCUCGAACACAACUGUACAACACAGGACGCGAUGUAAUACGUCUGUUGUACCAAACCGCUCUCUAGCCUUUAUGAGGG
rnacentral:rRNA from 1 species